GCUAAAGUGUCAGUCUGAGACCUCUAAAGCUCUGCACCCAGUCACCGCCACAAAGAAGCUUUAAAACUAGCAUGAAGACCAGCACUGGAUGCACAGCCUGUUGGCUUCCUUAUGACCUGCACCACACUGGAGUGCAGAGAUUGGAACACAAGCUCUGUCUUCCUGUUGGAUCUCAGCUCUUCUCCAGUCCUUCAAGGAAGAAGGCCACUUGCAUCAUGAAGGCAUGUGCUUGA
rnacentral:lncRNA from 1 species